rnacentral:rRNA from 1 species
UACGUAGGGGGCAAGCGUUAUCCGGAUUUACUGGGUGUAAAGGGAGCGUAGACGGUUACGCAAGUCUGGAGUGAAAGGCCGGGGCUCAACCCCGGGACUGCAUUGGAAACUGGCAUGCUGGAGUGCCGGAGGGGCAAGCGGAAUUCCUAGUGUAGCGGUGAAAUGCGUAGAUAUUAGGAGGAACACCGGUGGCGAAGGCGGCUUACUGGACUGUAACUGACGUUGAGGCUCGAAAGCGUGGGGAGCAAACAGG